AGAUGAACAUGGACAUUUGAAAAUAUACCUGCCCAAGAAGCUGCUUGAAUGUCUACCAAAAUGCACCUCGCUGCCAAAGGAGAGACACCGGUGGAACACAAAUGAGAGACAUCCAUGCAGACGCCAUAAUGGUUUCCGUGUUUGUAUUGAACUUGACCUCUGACCCCUGACCUCCUGCAUAAGCUUGGAUGCUUGAUUGGCAUCUUCGGCGCCGCGAAAGGCAUCUUCAUUUCCCGCUAAUUCGGCUUCUCUCCACCAAUAUUAGCAGGACAAGAUUGUUAACGCUCGCUCCCUUUGUCAUGUCAGUUAGAGCCACGAAUAACAUCAGAACAAUGGCUAGAAUGUGAUAAACAUCCCUGUUUAUCAAGAUAGCAGUGCAAUAAAAAAUACAAAAGCAAAGAGGAUGUAGUCACACGGAGGAAAACUGCCGUACGAAUUGAUCAAGCGAUAAAAGACGACGAUAACUUAUCACAGCAGAUGUUGCCUUUC
ensembl:lncRNA